UUCCUAAGGCGAGGCUGAAAAGCGUAGUCGAUGGGAAACAGGUUAAUAUUCCUGUACUUCUGGUUACUGCGAUGGAGGGACGGAGAAGGCUAGGCCAGCUUGGCGUUGGUUGUCCAAGUUUAAGGUGGUAGGCUGAAAUCUUAGGUAAAUCCGGGGUUUCAAGGCCGAGAGCUGAUGACGAGUCGUCUUUUAGAUGACGAAGUGGUUGAUGCCAUGCUUCCAAGAAAAGCUUCUAAGCUUCAGGUAACCAGGAACCGUACCCCAAACCGACACAGGUGGUCGGGUAGAGAAUACCAAGGCGCUUGAGAGAACUCGGGUGAAGGAACUAGGCAAAAUGGCACCGUAACUUCGGGAGAAGGUGCGCCGGCUAGGGUGAAGGAUUUACUCCGUAAGCUCUGGCUGGUCGAAGAUACCAGGCCGCUGCGACUGUUUAUUAAAAACACAGCACUCUGCAAACACGAAAGUGGACGUAUAGGGUGUGACGCCUGCCCGGUGCCGGAAGGUUAAUUGAUGGGGUUAGCGCAAGCGAAGCUCUUGAUCGAAGCCCCGGUAAACGGCGGCCGUAACGAUAACGGUCCUAAGGUAGCGAAAUUCCUUGUCGGGUAAGUUCCGACCUGCACGAAUGGCGUAACGAUGGCGGCGCUGUCUCCACCCGAGACUCAGUGAAAUUGAAAUCGCUGUGAAGAUGCAGUGUAUCCGCGGCUAGACGGAAAGACCCCGUGAACCUUUACUGUAGCUUUGCACUGGACUUUGAGCCUGCUUGUGUAGGAUAGGUGGGAGGCUUUGAAGCGUGGACGCCAGUUCGCGUGGAGCCAUCCUUGAAAUACCACCCUGGCAUGCUUGAGGUUCUAACUCUGGUCCGUAAUCCGGAUCGAGGACAGUGUAUGGUGGGCAGUUUGACUGGGGCGGUCUCCUCCUAAAGAGUAACGGAGGAGUACGAAGGUGCGCUCAGACCGGUCGGAAAUCGGUCGCAGAGUAUAAAGGCAAAAGCGCGCUUGACUGCGAGACAGACACGUCGAGCAGGUACGAAAGUAGGUCUUAGUGAUCCGGUGGUUCUGUAUGGAAGGGCCAUCGCUCAACGGAUAAAAGGUACUCCGGGGAUAACAGGCUGAUACCGCCCAAGAGUUCAUAUCGACGGCGGUGUUUGGCACCUCGAUGUCGGCUCAUCACAUCCUGGGGCUGAAGCCGGUCCCAAGGGUAUGGCUGUUCGCCAUUUAAAGUGGUACGCGAGCUGGGUUUAGAACGUCGUGAGACAGUUCGGUCCCUAUCUGCCGUGGACGUUUGAGAUUUGAGAGGGGCUGCUCCUAGUACGAGAGGACCGGAGUGGACGAACCUCUGGUGUUCCGGUUGUCACGCCAGUGGCAUUGCCGGGUAGCUAUGUUCGGAAAAGAUAACCGCUGAAAGCAUCUAAGCGGGAAACUUGCCUCAAGAUGAGAUCUCACUGGGAACUUGAUUCCCCUGAAGGGCCGUCGAAGACUACGACGUUGAUAGGCUGGGUGUGUAAGCGUUGUGAGGCGUUGAGCUAACCAGUACUAAUUGCCCGUGAGGCUUGACCG
rnacentral:rRNA from 1 species